rnacentral:rRNA from 1 species
CCUACGGGAGGCAGCAGUGAGGAAUAUUGGUCAAUGGACGCGAGCCUGAACCAGCCAAGUAGCGUGAAGGAUGACUGCCCUACGGGUUGUAAACUUCUUUUAUAAGGGAAUAAAGUGAGCCACGUGUGCGUUUUUGUAUGUACUUUAUUAAUAAGGAUCGGCUAACUCCGUGCCCGCAGCCGCGUUAAUACGGAGGAUCCGAGCGUUAUCCGGAUUUAUUGGGUUUAAAAGGAGCGUAGAUGGGUUGUUAAGUCAGUUGUGAAAGUUUGCGGCUCAACCGUAAAAUUGCAGUUGAUACUGGCAGUCUUGAGUACAGUAGAGGUAGGCGGAAUUCGUGGUGUAGCGGUGAAAUGCUUAGAUAUCACGAAGAACUCCGAUUGCGAAGGCAGUUUACUAAACUGCAACUGACACUGAUGCUCGAAAGUGUGGGUAUCAAACAGGAUUAGAUACCCGUGUAGUC